rnacentral:rRNA from 1 species
GAUGAACGCUGGCGGCGUGCCUAAUACAUGCAAGUCGAGCGAACAGACGAGGAGCUUGCUCCUUUGACGUUAGCGGCGGACGGGUGAGUAACACGUAGGUAACCUACCUAUAAGACUGGGAUAACUUCGGGAAACCGGAGCUAAUACCGGAUAAUAUUUCGAACCGCAUGGUUCGAUAGUGAAAGAUGGCUUUGCUAUCACUUAUAGAUGGACCUGCGCCGUAUUAGCUAGUUGGUAAGGUAACGGCUUACCAAGACAACGAUACGUAGCCGACCUGAGAGGGUGAUCGGCCACACUGGAACUGAGACACGGUCCAGACUCCUACGGGAGGCAGCAGUAGGGAAUCUUCCGCAAUGGGCGAAAGCCCGACGGAGCAACGCCGCGUGAGUGAUGAAGGUCUUCGGAUCGUAAAACUCUGUUAUUAGGGAAGAACAAACGUGUAAGUAACUGUGCACGUCCUGACGGUACCUAAUCAGAAAGCCACGGCUAACUACGUG